rnacentral:lncRNA from 1 species
UUCUGGUCCCCCGUCAACCCUUUCAGUCCAACUAUGGCGAGGACAAGAGCGGCGAUGCAAAGCAGGGCUUUUGUUCGUAGCCUCGGCUCAGUUUUAGGGUUGCCAGGCAGAACCCGGCCGGAAUCCCUCUCGCCUCUCCGCCAGGACUUUAUUCCAUAUCAACACCACCUUAAAAAUGAUGCAGAACUCGCUGAGAUACGUCCUGCUGCUGAUCGCCCUGCACACAGUCUGGAGUGAUAGCUGUUCUCUGGAGAUAACGCCGGCGAGGGUGGUGGUGGCGUUUGGGGAGCCGGUGACGGUCAACUGUGUGGCCUCCAGGCCGGUGCGAGUGCUGGGAUGGGAGUCGGCCAUCGGGGCGUCCCACACUCAGCGGGACACCAGCGUCCAGUGGCAGGUGGACAGUCUGAUCGACUGGAUCGAGGAGCCGAUCUGUUACGGAGUUUUCUUCACCGCACCCAGACAGUGUGAAGAGAAACUCAACCUGGUUCUGUACAGUACGUUCAACACUUCAACACUUCAACACCUUCAACACCACUGAUCUGAUGCCAAUAUCUACAGUAACAUAUCAAUUUCUAACUAAAGUUGCUAUAGUAAAGCAUUGAUGACUGCUCAAUCAGUCCAAUGUAAGCCAGCUGGGACAGACAGGGGCUGCUUGUACUGCUCAACCUGGUUCUCUACAGUAUGUUCAAUACUUACAACACCACUGAUCUGAUAACAAUAUCUACAAUAUAAUAUUGAUUUCAGCUCUGAUACACACUUUAAAAAAAGUUGGGACACAAUCUCCCUGUGUAUAUAGAGCCCCUUAGUUUCAGUGUCCCUUUGUUUUAUUGUGUGCUCUGUUGUCCUAUCAGUGUCCUUGCUUGUUCUCAUUUUUUUUGUAUGUUAUUUCUUGUUUUAUAGUAUUGCUAAAUCAGUGUAGUUUUUACAUUUAGUCUUGUCUUUGUCUGUGUAAAUUGUUAUACCUGCACUUACAGUACAUCCACCCUCUCACCCCUCAACACCCCUCACAACAGCCAUGCCCUUGUAAUGUGUGCAGCAUGUGGUUUAGCAUUGUCUUGCUAAGGGCUAAAGUACUGUCACUACGAUCAGAAGCUCAGUUCUGUGUCUGUGAGCUGAUGUAUCAGAACUGAGUCGCUGCGCUUUCCUCUGAGCGUUAGCGCUGUGAUGCUGCUCGGCAAU